GGAUUCUGGAUAAUGGGGAGAUUAAUAGUGCUUUCCAAAGAAGCCUCCAUCACCUAGACCGUUCUCAAUUGGUCAUGUUUCCUGUAUUGCAAAAUAUUCGUUUCAAAAGGCUUGAUAGAACAGUGGGCCACUUCUUCCUUCUAGUCUUGAACCUAAGGGAAGAAAGGUUUGAAGUUCUCGAUUCUAUGAGGUCUCUCGCCGACAUUAACUUGAAGACAUGCUGCAACAAUUUGAUCACUGCAAUUAAGGAACUUUGGCGCAAACAUUACCCUAAUUCAAGGAAGAAUAUUGACAAGUAUCAACUGAUUGAUAUUAAUGUUCCAUUGCAGUCAAACAAUCAUGACUGCGGGUUCCACAUGCUAAUGCAUUGUGAACACUGGAAUGGUAUUAACAUGCCACAGUUUAAGGAAAAAGAUAUGCCAACUAUUCGAAAGAUGCUCACAUACAAAUGGCUCCAACAUCCAGAAAACAAUAUUGCAUGGAGAUGUAAAAUGAAUAUUUGCUAGUAUCCUCUUCUUCGGCUUCAUCAUUAUCAGAGUAGCAAGUGAUUCCAUCAACAAGCUGAGCAGCAACUCUCCUUUUCCUGCCAAAGCCUUCCUUGUUGCACACAAACUGCACCUUUUGUUUUUCUCUCGUGAUUGCAGACCGACGUGACGUGUUUGUUCUAAUCGAGAAGCCAGUUCUCUUUGCAUACGAGUUGUAGUACUCCCUUGCUUCAUCCAAGGUUGCAAAAGACAUCCCAUUGUGUGGCAUUUCAGGUUCUGUCUCUGCUAAACCAGCAUGAACAUCUUCAGAAAUACCAGGCAAAAUCUGCUGGUUCAUAUGCUCAUUGUUAGGCUGAGGAAUUUCAGGAUUUGUGGACACUUGAGUGCAAAAGGGGUGAGGCUAUGUGCAGCAAAUAACACAAGUUUAAUGCAUAGGAGUAACCAUGUGCAGUAGCUAACACAAGAAGCUUUUUAAUGCAGAAAGAUGUACAUCUGCAUGUGUGGUGCAUACAACAUAUACACAUGUCAUCUAAUGGGUACCCAAGACGUACAGUGGUGUAGUAUCAGAUCUGCUAAUGUAGUAGAAACUAUAGUACUAUGUGAUACAAGAGAUCUGGAUUGCUUAUGCAAAACAACUGAUUUUGCUUUUAUGCAAAAGUAGUGAAUUGCUCAAAAGUUAGGAUAAGAUCUGCUAUUUCUUACAGAGUAAGAGAUCUGGCUAGUUAGGUGAUUCAAGAGAACAAAUCUGGCAGAAGAAACCUUCUAGUAACAGAUCUGGCUAGUUCUAUUUUUGAGACUAUUUGUUGAAAGUAGUGGCAGAAGAAGUUCUUGCACAAUAGCACGUACCUGC